UAAUGAAAAAUGAAAAGGCCAGGAGCGAG
rnacentral:sRNA from 1 species